GUGGCAGCAAGGAAAAAAGGACGAUUGAUGCCAUUGUAAAGAAGUCUUUUCAUGUAAAAGGUAAGUUCAGAUAAGUGCAUCAAUUAGACAAGCCAUAAGUUCUGAAAGACGGAAGCUACAGAAUGGCCUGUUACAAAACUCCACCAGUCUGCAGCAUAAGUCUUUCCCCACUCCCACCCCUUCUCCUGGUGUAACUGUUUUGUUAGGUUUUGUACUAGGUAAAGGGUAAAGGGACCCCUGACCAUUAGGUCCAGUCGUGGACGACUCUGGGGUUGCGGCACUCAUCUCGCUUUAUUGGCCGAGGGAGCCGGCGUACAGCUUCCGGGUCAUGUGGCCAGCAUGACUAAGCCGCUUCUUUUUUUUUUUUUAAAUAUUUUAUUAAGGAUUUUCUUGUUUUACAGAAGUGUAGUGCCUCGUAUUUUUUUUUUUCAUGUAACAUUUUUACAAAUCCGUUUCAUUUGUUGAGGCAUUAGGGGGAGAAGAAAAAAAGAAAAAGAAAGGGGGGUGGAGAGAGGGAAGAUGGAUGGGGGUGGGGUCGGGUGGCGGAGUUUCUAUUAUGUUUAAUGUAUGUAGAGUUUGGUGUCAGCGUUGCUUGUGUUGUUCACUUGUGUUCCUUUGGUGGUGAGAGAGGUUGGGGUUGGCCAAGGGUGUGAUUGUUUGCUUGUGAUUGGCUGUGGUGAUCUUUGUUUUCGUGUGUGAGUGAGGUGGGUGGGUGUUUUGGAUCAGGUUAGCGACUAAGCCGCUUCUGGCAAACCAGAGCAGCACACGGAAACACUGUUUACCUUCCCGCUGGAGCGGUACCUAUUUAUCUACUUGCACUUUGACGUACUUUCGAACUGCUAGGUUGGCAGGAGCAGGGACCGAGCAAUGGGAGCUUACCCCGUCGCGGGGAUUCAAACCGCUUACCUUCUGAUCAGCAAGUCCUAGGCUCUGUGGUUUAACCCACAGCGCCACGUGCAUCCCCCAAGUUUUUUGUACUAGAGCUCUCCUAAUAUUCAAUUCUGAUAAGCAUGUAAUAACCCCACUUUGGGGGUGCAAAUGGAGAAUCUGAGCUCUUUUGGAUCUGACUGUAGUCCCUAAAAUGUAGCGGGAAUUUUUAAUAUUAAUAUGUUAAUAUCAGACAUUUCAAGUCUGAGCAGGUGUCCUUACAACCCCACUGCUUCUUUUAUCGCUCACGUUAGAAAUCAAAACACCAGGUACUUCUCUCUCAUUGUUAUCUGCCCACAACUGCCCACCCCACCCCCAGCAAACUUGACUCAUCACCUUCUCGGCACAAAGCCGGAAAAACUGUCCUUGUGGUUUUGAUGCUUCCGUCUAGACAUUUAUUUAUUUUUAGGCUCUGCAUGGCGGUUGCAUUACAUACACCUGAAAGGAAAGGUAAACAGUGACAAAGCGACAGGCCACAAAGCAUUCCAGAUACAAACGGAAUACUUUGCUACACCCAGACAAUGGGGGAAAGACUUUAUACAGGUCCGUAAUCAGAAAUGGUGUUUGUGGGAAGGAAGGACAGCAGAAGUCAUUACAGGCUGGUGGUUUUAAAACUUGCAGGGGAUGUCCAUAGUGACUGGCAAAAUUCACGGUUCUUGUAUUCAUUUACAAGGUCCUUAACACCUUGGGUCUAGGAUACAACUUAAGGAUCGCUGGAUUCCUUACAUCCCUGCUGAUCACUGAGAUCUUAAUGGCUUCCCCAUGGCUCAAAUGCAAAGCUUCUAUCCAUCAGGAGUCCUGCAUUAAGUAUUUGGGGCCCAUUUUCCCACUCCACCUUUUUGUAAACUGCUUAGUGCUUUUAUGUACAAUCAAGAAGUACACAUAUUCUGUCAAAUAAAUGGGGGGGGGGAUCUGUGAUGCUCCAGCGGGUUAAGUUGGUUACACUUUGCACUGGACUUUUGCCCAUCAUGUAUAACGGAUAUCUGUGGCAUGUGGCGAUUUACAUAAUUAAAUAAAAAUUGUAGGGGGGAAAGUUAGGGCCAAAGGCAACAACUUUUGAGGGUGACUGGGGGGGGGGUGGCUCUCAUCUCCCUUGGUGACAACUGCCCUUGUUUUUAUUGCAUGCCCACACCAUUCUUAAAAUCUUGGGGGGGGGGGAGAAACAUUCCUUCCUUGAAUACAUCACUGCCACCACCAGAAGGGGGUCCUUCCUCAGAGCAAGGCAUUCGGGAAGUGGCCCAGAAGAGUGACGUCACCACUCCCAUUUUCCAAGGGUGACUAGAAACUCAAGUUUAAAAAUUGCCUAGAAGUCUACAUUAGCUUCCAAACAGUGAUUUAAUACAAUUUUGAGAGAGAAUGUCUCGUCGCUUCAGAAUAGCAGUGGUGGUGCAAGCGCCCUCACAGGCCUGAUUUCCCAGACUGCCUCAUUUUGAAGAAGGGCCUCUUUCCCUUCCUUAGAACAAGGCAGAGAUGGGGGGCGAGGCAGAGAUGCAGCAGUGACAAAACAUUAAAAGAUAUUGCACAGGUACGCUACUGAAUUUUCCCAAGGGACUAAAGCAGAGUUAUCUGAACACGCAAGGUUGUAAAAUGGGGGUGAGACUGGGGUGUGCAUCCCAGUUGCAGAGUUUUAAAGCACAUCUCUUUAGCUGAUGUGUAGCCAGCACGGGACUCCAGUCUGCAGAGCAAAAGGAGACAAAGAACACCUGAAACCACCUCAAAGGAAAACAGAUAUUCAGGCAAAAGGCAUUGAAAGUGUGUAUGGGGGGGGGGGAGGUGUAGUGUUUGGCCUUAGCUGGAGACGGGUGCUUAACAGUUGUCAUUCCUGAAGAUCAGAAGAGGAGAGGUGUAAAUUGAAAAGAGAUGUCCCAGCUCUUGUCAGACAGGAGGCAAACAUCACCUUAGACAUUUGAAAGGAUGCUUAGGAUUUUGCAGGAACGGGAAAAGGAUGUUAGAAUCAAAGCAUCAGGUCCCCUUCCUGUAAUUCCUUUGCUUUUUAACACUUCCUGUGGGCAGAUUUCAUCCUAUUUUAUUGCGUCCAUAUAAGAAUAACUAGGGAAUAGUGAAACUUUACCUUAAUGUAUUGCAGCAUAAGUUCCCUCUUUUUUUGUGAAAAGGUAGCAAUUUUUUUUUUAAGGGAAAGCAAUCUGUUUUCAUACAUUUCUAGUGUAAAUCAUCAACUUUACUACUAGAAACUUCAUAUCUUUAGUUCCUGUACUUACAAAAUCUCUUUUACAAAGGUUCUCAGUUGCCUUUCAAAUGUAUGUCAUUUUAAGUAUUAGGUAGAAGACAGCGCUGUUCUGUAAGCUGAGGGAGUCAACUCAUUUAAGUGAUACCUAAAGUAUAGGCCCAGUCAUCUUUUAUCAAUCAAACCCACAAAUUUAGAAUUUUAAACAUUUUAACACUCAGAAAGCUUGCAAUUGUCCUAUCUACACUUCUGGUGGGAGCGUCCUGUGAUACAAAUUUCUUGGAGAUCAAUAUUCCCUCAGCAACAUAAUGGACCAACCAGUGGUUGUCACUCCAGAAUUACCCUUACUGAAUAUAUUCCUGAAUAACAACUCAGAUUUACACAGCAGAAAACUUACGAGGAGCUAGACACACAAUCACUAGAUAUUAGGAAGCCCUUGCAAGCAUGAUGAAAACUAACUGGUACAAACUGGUCUGGGAAAGAUUGACAAAUAAAUUAAAGAUAUCCAAGGGACAAAAUAAGAAAGACAAAUGUACUUCUGUCUGGUUUGAUUUCAUAGAACAUGAACAAGCCUCCUGCCCAAUUUAGCUACAGUCUCAGCUUGACAAUAUCACUUCUCUUAUGUUUCCUAUCCUUUUUACCUGUUAGACAGUAAGAAAAGCUGAAAAGCCAUUGUCAACUUAAUCUCAAUACCAUUUGAGGAAUUGGGGGGGGGGGGGGAAAUACCAGCACUUGCUUGUUCUGGGAAAGGUUGGUUAUUGGAAAGUAUCAUACCACACUGCAUGGAUGCUUGGCGCUGUUCUUCUUUUAUGUUUUGUAUUUGAUCAAAAGCUUUGUAUCUCAGUGGUCAAAGUUAGCAUUUUGGAUAAUAUGUUGUCCACAUGCUCUCCUUUGGGUGGUCAUAUAUGCAACCUGAUUGACCAUUUAGUUUGUUUUGUUUACAGUGAUAUAAAAUUUGUUAUAAAAUUUAAAAACAACCAAUCAUUUUAAGUAUAGAAAUUGCCCCAAGUAAGCCAAUUUCUGUCUCAGUUCUUGGAUCUACUUCAGCAGGAGUGGGGAGUCUCAGUUCCGGGGCCCAAAAGUGGCUCUCCGGGCCUCCUUACCCAGCUCUUUGGACUCUUGUCCAAUGGUCCUCCAUUGGUCCUACAUCCUCCAAUGGUCCUACAUCCUCCAUUGGUCCUACAUCCUCCAAUGGUCCUACAUCCUCCAUCGGUCCUACAUCCUCCAUUGGUCCUACAUCCUCCAAUGGUCCUGCUCUACAUGCUUCUCAGCUGCUUUUGUCCGGCUAUAAUAUGUACUUGAACUAUGAUAACGUGGUAAAUGGUAAAUGGCCAAAGGCAUGGGUUGAUGCGAGUUGUAGUCAUCAACAUCUGGAGGACCAAAGAUUCCCUUGAUCUAGGAUCUCAUAAUAAAAACAGCUAAGGGUCGUGAGCUGCAUCCAAUGAAAUGCUUCCACUAGGAUAAGGACCUUUGGCUGUGCAACUGAAUUUCCCCGCCUCCUCCUUUCCCCUUGCCCCCUCCUAAAUCUGUUAUGGGUUUUCCUUAACCCUCCAGGGUAGAUUUUUUGGGGGGUGUUGGUGGGGGGCAGGUCCACAGGGAGAGAAAGAUCCAUUGUUCAAGUGGAAAUUCUUGUGCAUAAGUACUUUGUUGGAUAUCUUGCUAACAAAUGUAUUGUGGUAUAUGCUCUCCUGGACAACAGACCACUUCGCAAAAGCUUAUGCGGUAAGAAAUUCUUAGUCUUCCAGGUGCCACAAGACACCGUUGUCCUUGCUGUAACUAACAACUAUCCCUCUGCAAACUGUUACAAUGGAAGGAGCUUAUAGUGUUAGCGGCAGAGCCUGGGAUUAGAACUCAGGAGCCGCUGCCUCCAGCUACUAGAGCAUGCCAGAAAAUCUUAGCAUUCACAGGAUUAGCCACAUAAAUAACAAAAAGUUCAGACAGGCUAAACUGAAAACAGACAGAGCUAAGCAUUGGGCUUCCUUCAGGCAGAUGAUAAUGCAUCUGGACCAGAGACACUUUGUUAGUUGAUAAGCUUGGUAAGAUUAGUGUAAAUAGCUACAGAAGCAGAAUGCUAAUAGAAAUGGCAGUCAAGGGUAUCUGCUAAAAGCCAGGAAAACACAUGUAAGUAGACACACACACACACACACACACACACACACACUAUGCCUUUAAGGAGUUGAAAUGUUCAUUUAGUUCAUUCAACUUUAAAAGCACACUCGCCAUUAAUUUGCCAAUGUCUUGCAGGAAUAUUCUCUUCCCUUUAUAUAAUCUACAGUGCACAGUGGCUGCACUCUGACACAUAGGUAUCUAUGUUCUCUCAGCUGUGAUCUUUUAUUUUCCACUAUUCCAGAGAUGUCCAGCUGAUGGGCUACAUGCAAAAAGUCCAGAUAACAGCUAUAACGUAGCACAGAGGCAUACUUCUCAGACCUGCGAUUUCGAUCUGUUUAAGCAUGCCAAACUCUGUGCCAGAUUAUGGCCUAUAAUACCCCUGCAAUAUAGUCGAAUGGUAUCCAGACCAGAAAAAGAAAACACGACAGUAGUAGGGGAUAUCUACAAUGGUUCUGGGUUAACUAGGGAACAGUGACAGAAGCACACUGAGUAGGGCCUGUUGUUGUUUAGUCAUUUAGUCGUGUCCGACUCUUUGUGACCCCAUGGACCAGAGCACGCCAGUUGUCUUUGUCCAUGGAGUUUUCUUGGCAGGGAUACUGGAGUGGCUUGCCGGUUCCUCCUCCAGGUGGAUCACGUUUGGUCAAAACUCUCCACUAUGACCUGUUCAUCUUGGAUGCCCUGCUCGGCAUAGUUCAUAGCUUCUCUGAGUUAUUCAAGCCCCUUCGCCAAGGCAAGGCAGUGAUCCAUGAAGGGGAGUAGGGCCUAGACUUGGUCAUAUUUAGAAAAGACCUGCUGAAAGUGAUGAACAUCUCAAGUCUCAUUGAUUUCAGUGGCUCCCCUUCCAUGAAGACUAUAUUUGUUUAGGUCUCACCUGUGUGGCCAGAGAGACUGGGGCAAGCAGGGGAAGAGGGUGAGUGAGAGGGUUCACUUCUGAAUUGCCUGAGGGCAAGUGAUAAUACUACAAACAGAAGGAAGGGGCAGUCUUGUUAGGGGAAGAAAGAAACCGCUGCAGCCACCUCCUGUACCAGUCUCAGCAUUCCCAAACCUUAACAGUGCCCGUUUCUUCAUUAUAUCAUCAGCAUGGCUUAAAUGAGGAAGAUUUGCAGGGGCCAAGAGUGAACUACUUCAUGAUUACUCUUCAUUGAGUUUGUUACUGACGGAUUACACACUUGCAAAUAAAGAUGCCCCAAGUUUAAAAGGCACCCAAGCCCUGGUUAAACGACUUUUCUCAAUCCACUCAGAUGUUUCUGCAGUAGCCGUAUUAAUACAUUCCAGCAGCGGCCUUAUAUUGCAAAAUAUGAAACUUAACUCGUGGCCAUUAUGAAGGCAUUAAUCUUCCACCUGUCACUAAUACUGGCUAGGCAGUUUUUCAACUAUCUGCCCUCAACAUUGCUAGUUGGCCCUUUGGGGAUUAAAUCUGUAAAGUGCUGCCUGCAAAAGUGUUAUCACAGGUUACAGCCACACAAAAUUAGCAUCCAAAAUAUAUACUUAGUGCUCUCAUUACAAAUGUGCAUUAUUAGUCUACACGGCAGAGUUCAUAUCCACCAAUGGGCUAAUUAUACCAGAAGCAAUAUUUCCAAGUGACUUUCUUUCAGUGUUCCUCUCUUAUUUAAAAUCAGGGAGAAGCCAUGGAGAGUUUCAUUCCAGAUACAGCAAACUGAGCAUUAUUGGAUCCUGCAGAUCAAAGUACACUGGCCUCUCCUUAUUUUAACAACACUGUGAUUCUUAAUACAGUACAGUGUUUUCAAGUGCUGAAAGCAUUUCCCACACAUUGCCUCACUGCAAUCCUAACGGCAACCCCAUAAGGCAAGACGGCAGUAAUAUUAUCCCCGUAAGGCUGAGAGAGUGUAACCACCAAUGAAGUAAUGUCUGAGGUGGGACUUGAACCAGGGACCUUUGGAUUUGUAGCUCAAUCUCUUGGACACUACACUACACCAGUUCCUUAACAUUUAAAUAAUCAGGCUUAACUGCUGCACCCUUCAGCAGAUAUAUUCAUUUCAAAAAAGUUGCAAGUUUUCUUUCCUGUCUCCUGUGACUUCAUCAACAGUCACAUAGCAAGGAGAAAUCCAGCAGUUCUUAUCUUUGCACCUACACAUUUUAAAAGCCCAUUACUUAAGCAUUUAAAAAGGUAAAGGGACCCCUGACCAUUAGGUCCAGUCGUGGCAGACUCUGGGGUUGCGGCGCUCAUCUCACUUUAUUGGCAGAGGGAGCUGGCAUACAGCUUCUGGGUCAUGUGGCCAGCAUGACUAAGCCGCUUCUGGCAAACCAGAGCAGCACACGGAAACGCCGUUUACCUUCCCGCUGGAGCGGUACCUAUUUAUCUACUUGCACUUUGACGUGCUUUUGAACUGCUAGGUUGGCAGGAUCAGAGACCGAGCAACGGGAGCUCACCCCAUUGCGGGGAUUCGAACUGCCAACCUUCUGAUUGGUAAGUCCUAGGCUCUGUGGUUUAACCCACAGUGCCACCCGUGUCCCUACUUAAGCAUUUACUCUACCAGAAAAAAAGGUCUGUCAAACUGUUGGAAGUACAAAAGCAGGGAUCAGUUUGUAAUUUAAGGGUUAAUUUUAUUAGUCUUAAAGUCAACUAGACAGGAGGGGGUGGAUGUGUUGCUGAGCAACUGGGUGGAGUAGCAUGAUCUAUGCUGAGGUAGCACAUACCCCAAUUGGCUGUGUGGUUCUAAGGAAGUUUUUACUUUGUAUGUUUGGUCUAAUGUCCCCUUGAUAUAUUCAAAGCCUGAUAUGAAAAAGACAAAACUUGUCUGUUCCUUUCUCCUCAGAUUAUACAGGUUUAUAGCUGUUGCUCCAAAUACAGUCCACAAGUUCUUUGCUGCAGAAUACUCUAGUCUAGAGCAAAUGACUUAUAGAUGGCCUAUCCCAUCUGCUACUGUGUCCAAGUCACCAAUAAGUAUCAAGGUCAGAUUUAUGCACAAGUUAAGUAAACCACAAUUUAGGACCUCAGAUUAUGAGGGGCUUCUAAAUUAAAAAGUCUACAUUUCAAGUUUUACACAACUGGUUAAAAAAUAAAUACAUUUUAUUUAGAUUCUUAGUUUUUGCUUACAUCCUCCCCUCUGUACUGGUCUAUAUCCAACUACAACACUUUAUUAUUUCUGUUUGCAUUGGCUUUUCUGUUAGACUAAUGCACUUUUUUUUUUUGCUAAAAACUAUGCAGCUUCCUAACUUUGACAUAGCCUAGGGCUCAGCAUGUCUUACUCCAGCUCUGAUGGGCAUGGGAAAAAACAUUUUCUGCCUAUGUGAGCAAAAGGCAUUCCCUUAGAAAAGAGCUGCACAAAUUAUAUCGUGGUCAAACAUACAAAGUUUAGAAGAGAAAAUGUUUCUUUACAAAUUUAGCAACUUUCCUUUGAAAUCUUACUCAAUAUGCAUCAAGAAAUUGCAAUAAAACACCCAAGAAUUUAUUGCUCCUUUCCCAAUACAAGUAGAGAUCAGCUGUAGGUUUCUUGUUAUGACUCAUGGACAUUUGGUUGACCCAACCAGGGCUAAGGGCUAUUUCAAAUGUCUCUUAUUACUUACGACACAUCUUUGUCAAAGUCUGAAUGGUGGGAAUGCAUGACAAAGAAGGAUUUAAACUGGUCAUAAUUUGAUAAGAAAAGCAACUUAGCGACAUAACUUUCCCAAUCAGUGAAUGGCAUGUUAUUCAAUGGAACAAAAGGAAAAGCUGUCCUGUUAAAAAUAAAAUGGUAUUGAAAUAGAAUGUUGUUUAGAUAGAUUUGAGUUAUUUUAUCUGGCACCUAAAAUUAAGCUUGCUUAGGUUGGAGCUAAACAUUUGGUAGCAAACACAGGAUUCCUAAGCCCAUGUUUGCUUCCAACAGGCAAUCUGGGAUCCCAUUUGCAAAGGAAAAGCAGCAGGUAAGAGCUGUGUUUAAUCCUUCGCACCACCUUAAUUCUGAAAUCACUUCCCCUUCACCCAGCCCCAGUAUUGGAUUCCCUGAUGAAGUGAAAAAGAGGAAGGAGUGAUUCCCAAAACGAGUGCCAAAAUUAUGGUUAGAAAAUGUUACAGAGGAGAAGUGGUGGCAGUGGAUGGGCAAAGCACUGCCUUGCCAAACACUUCUGCCUGGCUCCAUUCUCAGCACUGGAGACAAACACAAGGCUGGGAAUCCAGUCUAUGAAAUCAAACAUCUAGUAGUGCCUAUAGAUAACUUGGGAGACUAAUCCGAAGUUGCAUUAACGCGGGUGGCGCUGUGGGUUAAACCACAGAGCCUAGGACUUGCUGAUCAGAAGGUUGGCGGUUCAAAUCCCCGCGACGGGGUGAGCUCCCGUUGCUCGGUCCCUGCUCCUGCCAGCCUAGCAGUUCGAAAGCACGUCAAAGUGCAAGUAGAUAAAUAGGUACCGCUCUGGUGGGAAGGUAAACAGGUUUUCCGUGCGCUGCUCUGGUUCAGCAGAAGCGGCUUAGUCAUGCUGGCCACAUGACCCAGAAGCUGUACGCCGGCUCCCUUGGCCAAUAAAGCGAGAUGAGCGCCGCAAGCCCAGAGUCGGCCACAAUUGGACCUAAUGGUCAGGGGUCCCUUUACCCUUUACCUUUACAGCUGAAAUAAAGGAGGCUGGCCUGGGAAGCCACUUGGAUGCAGACACCCAUGAUUUACAAUAGGGCAAGCCCAACUUUUUGUACCAGGUGAGCUGCAAGAGAACUUCAACACAGAACCCACAGGCUGCACACAGGUUGCGCAGGCGCAGGGAGUGAGGCCAGAACUUGCCCCAUCCCAAGCCCUCAUGCUGCCUUUCCAAAGCUGGCUAAGCAAGAUGCCAGGCUUUGGGAAGGAAGUGUGAGGCUCUGGCAGAGUCCUAGGGCCCUCCCACCUCCUUCCCAAAGGUGGGAGAGCCUUAACUAGGCUUUAGAAAGGAGGUGGGAGGACUCCAGGACACUGGCAGAACCCUCACACCUCCUUCCCAAAGCCCAGCACCUCGCUUACCUGGCUUUGGGAAAGCAGCACAAGAUCUGUGGGCAGGGGCGUCAAAUGUUGGUGAGAGCCACCCAAAAAGACAUUGAGGGUUGCAUGUGACUCUUGGGCCAGACGUUGGACUGCCCCAAUUUAAAAUAUAACUUUGCAUUUAAAUGCACAUUUCUCUCAAAAUAUGCAUCUCUGAACUUCUCGAAAUACCUUUACAAAUAUAUUUAUAACUGUAUUUUACCGAUGUUUUCCAAGUGUGAAAUCCAAUAGAUAGCUACAUCUCAAUCUACACAAGUAGUCCAGGAGGGGCAGAUCUGGUCAGUUUGUGUUGGAAACUGCAACACCCAAAUUCCUCAUGCAUCCCUAGAUAGGGGUACAUUUGGGAACUGUAAAAAAGCUGUUCUGAGUUCCUUGGAGAAAGUGAUGUAUCAAGUGUAUAAAUUAGUAUAAACAAUUUUCCUCCUGGUUCAUGGCGCACUGCAUAACUUUACCAGAUAUUGUCCCAAAGCAAUACCCCUUGACACACAAUUAUGCUCAAUAACAAGUAUUAUAGCAGAAAACAUGUCAGACUGAAUUCAACUCCUGCUUGGCCACAAACUCACUGAGAGCACAUCCUUACUCAUGUCUACUCAAAAAUAAGUCUGACUUGAGUCCCAUGGAACUUACUACCAGGUGUGUAAAGGAAUGGCGCAGCCUGAGUAAUCCCAUCAGCCUAUAAUUUGCAACUUUAUGGUGGAGCUGUUUGACUUACCUUGAGGGUUUAUGAACGAUGAAUGACCAGACAGAUUACAAAGCCCUUUCACACUCAAAAAGCACCCUAGAAAAUGCAUGAAGCUAAGUAGCUUGAAAACACCUGCUCAACUGAGUUUCCACUUCUGCCUCAAAGUAUAAAUUCCUGAAGCCACUUUCAUAAUCUGCAACAGACACAUCCAUCCCUCUUCACUACAUUCUGUUUGGUUCUUUAAAAGAACGAGAGAGAAAAUGCAAUGUCGUAGGAAAGUUCAAUGCUUUGAAUGUUGGCAGAAGUUUAUCAAGAAUCCAUAAAUUUCAGUGUGCCUAUGCAGAAUAUGUCUUAGUCAAGGUACCACCCUUAAUAAUUUGGCAAGUGAUUAAAAAUAAAAUCUGAACAUACUUCAGCACAGGUUGUCUUCAUGAAAUGUGGUGCUGAGAGUAUUUCAGUUCCAAAUGUCUGAGAAGCCCCUAUAAGAUACAAGAGGCUCAGAGAUCACAGAUAAGAUUUUCCAUUCAGUGAAGCAACCAAACCUCCCCCCACAAGCUGUGUUUCCUGUACCAUUAGAUAUCAUCUCCAUAACGUAACAAAUACCGAGGCUGUAGUGAUAAUGACCUGCCUGCCUAAGCUAUUCUUUAUACAAUCUGAAGCUGAAAUCAGAUAUAAAUGGAGAUUGUCCAUCAAAGUACAGCUACUCUUAAGUGUUUCUUUUUCGUCUCCAACAAUUCAGAAAGACAGGAUGACUAUAAAGACACCCACAGCUCUACCCUUGGGGCGUACAAUCUCUGAAGAUCUAUACGGAUUUUUAAAUCAUCAACAUCAAACGCAACUAUUAUGGGUUGCAACCAAUGGUGGCUUUGCCUUAGCAGAAAUAGCCUCUGCUUGUGCAAAUUAGGUGACCUGCUUUUUGCUCAACUCCCCUAUCCACUUCCCCAAAAAGCUAAUUUUACUUUUUUCAGGACGGGGGGGGGGGACCCCUCCAUAACUGAAUAUAAUGCAGACGGCUGCAGUAAGUCCUGGCAUCCGCUCCCAGUUUCACUUAAAAAGAAAUACUACUUCCCUUAUGAGUAGAACUGCACAAAAUUCUUGCCAUACCUUUACUGUAUUUAAAAACUGUUAAGAUUCCACAGAAUGGCCACUCCUGCUUUCACGAUUUCCUGCCGGAUUCCCAGGAUCUCUCUAAAACACAAGUAUCUAACCUGAACCCCCAUCCUGUUCAACACUCUCCUAAAGUACAACAGCUUAUUGUAAAAGAUUACCAGAUCAUCAUCACAGACCAAGUGUCUUUGGCUCAACACUUGUUUGCACAGGAGAAUGCAGACCUGUCUUAUAAAUUGCAAAUGGAGCUGAAAAUGUUCACGGUCUUACUCCAUCAAACAGGUCCAAUAUACAUUUUUAUAUUUAUACAGAUGAACGUUACUGUUUUGCAAUCUCUGCCCUGGGCCAUGAUUUGAAGACGAGCAAGGCCUGGAUUGGAAAAGGUGAGCAACUCAGUGAGCAGGAGUAGCAAAUGGGGCAUUACACAAGCUAUAUUCUGAAACCCCUCCAUCCUUGGCAGCGUUUAACUCUCCUUUCCAUUAUGCUAGGCUGGAUAAAUGCUUCUGACAAUGCAGUUAAAGCAGAAGGCUGCAAUUCCCAGGAAGGAAUGGUUUUUGGCAAUUUUGCUUUAGCAGAUGCAGCAGUUAACCCCCCUCUCCUUAUAUUAAACUAUCCAGGUCCCAAGAGCACUGAUAGCCUAUAUACUUCCUCCUCCUCCUCUAAGGCCUCACAACUAUUACAUUAUCAUUAUGUCAGUUGUGUGCUGCCUUGCAUGAACAACUCUGGUGGAAGCAAAUACAUGAUCAAGCGCCAUUGCAGUUAUAAUAAACGCAGGGCGUGGGGCUAGCCAAGAGGGAACAAAACUGAGAAUUUGGUUCUGUUCAGCUCCAGAGGUUUUCGCACAGCAAAGAUCAGACUUUGAGCAACAUGGAAGAGAAUCCAGAGUGAAUUGUGGAAUCCAGGAUGGAUCCAUCCCAGCCACGGGC